rnacentral:piRNA from 1 species
UGCAGUUCUGAAGUAGCAAUGGAGA